rnacentral:rRNA from 1 species
UGCGUAGGCGGUGCGGUAAGUCAGGUGUGAAAUCCCUCGGCUCAACCGAGGAACUGCGCUUGAUACUGCCGUGCUUGAGGGAGACAGAGGCGAGCGGAACUGAUGGUGGAGCGGUGAAAUGCGUUGAUAUCAUCAGGAACACCCGUGGCGAAAGCGGCUCGCUGGGUCUCUUCUGACGCUGAGGCACGAAAGCUAGGGGAGCGAACG